GGAUCAAUGAGUUUCCCAUAAAAACAGUCCUUGGAAAAGCUGAACAAAAUUGUGAAAACUCACAACUGUCAUUUACAUUGGAGCUGAGGUCC
rnacentral:snoRNA from 1 species